rnacentral:rRNA from 1 species
AUUGAACGCUGGCGGCAUGCUUUACACAUGCAAGUCGAACGGCAGCACGGACUUCGGUCUGGUGGCGAGUGGCGAACGGGUGAGUAAUACAUCGGAACGUACCCAGUAAUGGGGGAUAACUAUCCGAAAGGAUAGCUAAUACCGCAUACGCCCUACGGGGGAAAGAGGGGGAUCGCAAGACCUCUUGUUAUUGGAGCGGCCGAUGGCUGAUUAGCUAGUUGGUAGGGUAAAGGCCUACCAAGGCAACGAUCAGUAGCGGGUCUUAGAGGACGCUCCGCCACACUGGAACUGAGACACGGUCCAGACCCCUACGGGAGGCAGCAGUGGGGAAUCUUGGACAAUGGGCGCAAGCCUGAUCCAGCAAUGCGGCGUGCGUGAAGAAGGCCUUCGGGUUGUAAAGCGCUUUUGUCAGGGAGCAAAUCCUUGUGGCUAAUACCCACCGGGGAUGAGAGUACCUGAAGAAUAAGGACCGGCUAACUACGUGCCAGCAGCCGCCGUAAAAC